rnacentral:misc_RNA from 1 species
AGCAGAUGGUGGUUACAUUCGGUAUGUCGGACAUUGGUCCGUGGUCGCUAAUGGACUCAGGAGCUCAGAGCGGCGAUGUCAUCAUGAGGAUGAUGGCAAGGAACUCCAUGUCGGAGAAGCUCGCGGAGGACAUCGAUACCGCUGUGAAGCGGUUGUCCGAUGAGGCCUACGAGAUCGCUUUGAGCCAGAUCAGGAGCAACCGGGAGGCCAUGGACAAGAUCGUGGAGGUGCUCCUUGAGAAGGAGACAUUGAGUGGUGACGAGUUCAGGGCGAUUCUCUCCGAGUUCACGGAGAUCCCUGUCGAGAACCGGGUUCCCCCAGCCACGCCGGCAGCUCUCCCUGCCUAAAUCCCACUAGUUUUGUAGGAAUGGAACAUGCUGUAAGAUGUUCAUAUUUUCGAUUCUUGGUGUACACUAACUUUACUUUGCCGGCCGGAUUUUUU